rnacentral:rRNA from 1 species
UGGCGAACGGGUGAGUAAUACAUCGGAACGUGCCCAGUAGUGGGGGAUAGCCCGGCGAAAGCCGGAUUAAUACCGCAUACGACCUACGGGUGAAAGCGGGGGAUCGCAAGACCUCGCGCUAUUGGAGCGGCCGAUGUCAGAUUAGCUAGUUGGUGGGGUAAAAGCCUACCAAGGCGACGAUCUGUAGCUGGUCUGAGAGGACGACCAGCCACACUGGGACUGAGACACGGCCCAG